rnacentral:rRNA from 1 species
AUCCGGAGGGGGGGAGACGAGAGAAAUUUGGGGUAGGAACGGAAGGGACUGUCGCUGGCCUUUGGAAACGAAGGCAUGUGCACGUCUCGAAGUCUUACUUUUUUAGUAUCUCGAUCUCUUUCCUUUCGUGAGACCCUUUUCUUACACCUGUGCACCUAUUGUAGGUCCCGCGAGGGAUCUAUGUCUCUAUCUACUCUAAAACGUAUGGCCUAGAAUGUCUUGAAACGUCGUCCGGCCUGGCUAACGCUCGGUUGGCGGCAGUAAAGAACUUUAUACAACUUUCAGCAACGGAUCUCUUGGCUCUCGCAUCGAUGAAGAACGCAGCGAAUUGCGAUACGUAAUGUGAAUUGCAGAUUUUCAGUGAAUCAUCGAAUCUUUGAACGCACCUUGCGCUCCUUGGUAUUCCGAGGAGCAUGCCUGUUUGAGUGUCAUUAAAUUCUCAACCAUCCUUUGAUUCAUUUCGAGGGGUCGGCUUGGAUAUUGGGGGCUGCCGGCGACUCACUGGGGUCUUGUCGGCUCUCCUUAAAAGUAUUAGUGAACUGGCGUGACGAGCUUCGUGCAUGAACGGCCUUCGACGUGAUAAUGAUCGUCGUGGCUGGAGUGCUUUGAAGAGGCUUGGAUCGUCUUUUGCUUCUAAUCUUGAUCGUAGAGGGAGGGGGAACUCUGCUUCGGCGGACGAAACUUUUCUUUGCUUUCUUUCUUUGACUUUUGACCUCAAAUCAGUAGGACUACCCGCUGAACUUAAGCAUAUMAUAAGCGGAGGAAAAGAAACUAACAAGGAUUCCUCUAGUAACUGCGAGUGAAGCGGGAAGAGCUCAAUUUUGAAUCUGGCGGUCUUGCGGCCGUCCGAGUUGUAUCUAGAGAAGCGUCUUCCGCGCUGGACGUG